rnacentral:rRNA from 1 species
GGACCUACGGGAGGCAGCAGUAGGGAAUUUUCGUCAAUGGGCGCAAGCCUGAACGAGCAAUGCCGCGUGAACGAGGAAGGUCUUCGGAUCGUAAAGUUCUGUUGAAGGGGAAAAAGAGCGGAGAGAGGAAAUGGUCUCCGAUUGAUAUUACCCUUCGAGGAAGUCACGGCUAACUACGUGCCAGCAGCCGCGGUAAUACGGAGGAUGCGAGCGUUAUCCGGAUUUAUUGGGUUUAAAGGGUGCGCAGGCGGCGAGGUAAGUCAGCGGUAAAAUUUCGGGGCUCAACCCCGACGAGCCGUUGAAAU